rnacentral:rRNA from 1 species
CACUCAUUCAAAGAGUGCGUAAUAGCUCACUGGUCGAGUGAUCCUGCGCCGAAGAUUUCCGGGGCUAAAACUUACUACCGAAGCUACGGCAUCAGUAAUGAUGGGUAGGGGAGCUUCCCAUACGGGUUGAAGCAUGACCGUAAGGACAUGUGGACAGUAUGGGAGUGAGAAUGUUGGCAUGAGUAGCGAGAUGUGGGUGAGAAUCCCACAGGCCGUAAACCCAAGGUUUCCAGGGGAAGGUUCGUCCACCCUGGGUUAGUCGGGACCUAAGCUGAGGCCGAAAGGCGUAGGUGAUGGACAACAGGUUGAUAUUCCUGUACUACCGAUAACCGUUUGAGAGAUGGGAUGACACAGUAGGAUAAGCUAAGCACACUGUUGGUUAUGUGUGCCCAAGCAUUGAGGCAGUCAAAGUAGGCAAAUCCGCUUUGAUAAUGCUGGGAUGUGAUGGGGAGCGAAAUUUAGUAGCGAAGUAGCUGAUUUCACACUGUCAAGAAAAGUCUCUAUCGAGGUUAAAGGUACCCGUACCGCAAACCGACACAGGUGGGUGAGGAGAGUAUCCUAAGGCCAGCGAGAGAACUGUUGUUAAGGAACUCGGCAAAAUGACCCCGUAACUUAGGGAUAAGGGGUGCCACCAUCAGGUGGCCGCAGAGAAUAGGCCCAAGCGACUGUUUACCAAAAACAUAGGUUUCUGCUAAGUCGCAAGACGAUGUAUAGGAGCUGACGCCUGCCCGGUGCUGGAAGGUUAAGGGGAUCUGUUAGAGCAAUCGAAGCAGUGAANUUAAGCCCCAGUAAACGGCGGCCGUAACUAUAACGGUCCUAAGGUAGCGAAAUUCCUUGUCGGGUAAGUUCCGACCCGCACGAAAGGCGUAACGAUUUGGGCACUGUCUCAACAACAGACUCGGUGAAAUUGUAAUUCCGGUGAAGAUGCCGGAGACGUGCGACAGGGCGGAAAGGCCCCAUGGGGCUUUACUGUAGCUUGACAUUGGGUCUUGGUACUACAUGUACAGGAUAGGUGGGAGGCUUUGAAACCAGGACGCCAGUUUUGGCGGAGCCAUCCUUGGGAUACCACCCUUGUAGUACUGGGACUCUAACCAUAG